GAUGAGCGCUGGCGGCGUGCCUAAUACAUGCAAGUCGAGCGAACAGACGAGGAGCUUACUCCUCUGACGUUAGCGGCGGACGGGUGAGUAACACGUGGAUAACCUACCUAUAAGACUGGGAUAACUUCGGGAAACCGGAGCUAAUACCGGAUAACAUGUUGAACCGCAUGGUUCAACAGUGAAAGACGGUCUUGCUGUCACUUAUAGAUGGAUCCGCGUCGCAUUAGCUAGUUGGUAAGGUAACGGCUUACCAAGGCAACGAUGCGUAGCCGACCUGAGAGGGUGAUCGGCCACACUGGAACUGAGACACGGUCCAGACUCCUACGGGAGGCAGCAGUAGGGAAUCUUCCGCAAUGGGCGAAAGCCUGACGGAGCAACGCCGCGUGAGUGAAGAAGGUCUUCGGAUCGUAAAACUCUGUUAUUAGGGAAGAACAAAUGUGUAAGUAACUAUGCACGUCUUGACGGUACCUAAUCAGAAAGCCACGGCUAACUACGUG
rnacentral:rRNA from 1 species